UAGAGUUUGAUCCUGGCUCAGAAUGAACGCUGACGGCGUGCUUAACACAUGCAAGUCGCACGAGAACUCUUUAGCUUGCUAAAGAUAGUAAAGUGGCGCACGGGUGAGUAACGCGUGGGUAAUCUACCCCAGAAUCGGGGAUAACAUUGCGAAAGCGAUGCUAAUACCGGAUAAUAUCUGAUUUACUGUGGUUUUUCAGAUCAAAGGUGGCCUCUAUAUAUAAGCUACUGUUUUGGGAUGAGCCCGCGUACCAUUAGCUUGUUGGUAGGGUAAUGGCCUACCAAGGCUGCGAUGGUUAGCUGGUCUGAGAGGAUGAUCAGCCACACUGGAACUGGUACACGGUCCAGACUCCUACGGGAGGCAGCAGUGAGGAAUUUUGCGCAAUGGGGGAAACCCUGACGCAGCAACGCCGCGUGAGUGAUGAAGGCCUUCGGGUCGUAAAGCUCUGUCAAGUGGGAAGAAUAUAGAAAAUGAUAAUACCAUUUUUUACUGACGGUACCACUGAAGGAAGCACCGGCUAACUCCGUGCCAGCAGCCGCGGUAAUACGGAGGGUGCAAGCGUUAUUCGGAAUCAUUGGGCGUAAAGGGCGCGCAGGCGGUUUUUUAAGUCAGAUGUGAAAGCCCGGGGCUUAACCCCGGAAGUGCAUUUGAAACUAAUUAACUUGAGUAUGGGAGAGGGAAGUGGAA
rnacentral:rRNA from 1 species